rnacentral:rRNA from 1 species
CGGACGAGAAGCUUGCUUCUCUGAUGUUAGCGGCGGACGGGUGAGUAACACGUGGAUAACCUACCUAUAAGACUGGGAUAACUUCGGGAAACCGGAGCUAAUACCGGAUAAUAUUUUGAACCGCAUGGUUCAAAAGUGAAAGACGGUCUUGCUGUCACUUAUAGAUGGAUCCGCGCUGCAUUAGCUAGUUGGUAAGGUAACGGCUUACCAAGGCAACGAUGCAUAGCCGACCUGAGAGGGUGAUCGGCCACACUGGAACUGAGACACGGUCCAGACUCCUACGGGAGGCAGCAGUAGGGAAUCUUCCGCAAUGGGCGAAAGCCUGACGGAGCAACGCCGCGUGAGUGAUGAAGGUCUUCGGAUCGUAAAACUCUGUUAUUAGGGAAGAACAUAUGUGUAAGUAACUGUGCACAUCUUGACGGUACCUAAUCAGAAAGCCACGGCUAACUACGUGCCAGCAGCCGCGGUAAUACGUAGGUGGCAAGCGUUAUCCGGAAUUAUUGGGCGUAAAGCGCGCGUAGG